AAAUGAAUAGACGGGGACCCGCACAAGCGGUGGAGCAUCUGGUUUAAUUCGACAGUAAGCGGAGAACCUCACCAGGACUUGACAUCUCGGGAAGUCUGCCGAAAGGUGGAUGUGCCGCAAGGAACCCGAUGACAGGUGCUGCAUGGUUGUCGUCAGCUCGUGCCUUGAGGUGUUCGGUUAAGUCCGUAAACGAGCGCAACCCAUGUCAUGUGUUGUAUUUUUCACAUGAGACUGCCGGCUCCAAGUCGGAGGAAGGUAUGGAUGACGUCAAAUCAGCAUGGCCCUUAUGUCCUGGGCCACACAGGUGCUACAAUGGACGGUACAGUGGGCUGCAACAUAGUAAUAUGAAGCCAAUCCCAAAAACCGUUCUUAGUUCGGAUUGAGGGCUGAAAUUCGCCCUCAUGAAGCUGGAAUCGCUAGUAAACGUGAAUCAGAACGUCACGUUGAAUAUGUUCCCGGGUCUUGUACACACCGCCCGU
rnacentral:rRNA from 1 species